UACGGGGGAGCAAGCGUUGUUCGGAUUUACUGGGCGUAAAGGGCGCGUAGGCGGCCAGUGCAAGUCAGUUGUGAAAUCUCCGAGCUUAACUCGGAAAGGUCAACUGAUACUGCUCGGCUAGAGUGCGGAAGGGGCAACUGGAAUUCUUGGUGUAGCGGUGAAAUGCGUAGAUAUCAAGAGGAACACCUGCGGCGAAGGCGGGUGCUGGGCCGACACUGACGCUGAAGUGCGAAAGCUAGGGGAGCGAACGGG
rnacentral:rRNA from 1 species